AUGGGAUACUCCCCCGCGGAGUCUUUGGCCAUUGCCAACAGACUUAAUUGCCACCUGGGCUCUUUCCCCACAACCUACCUGUGCAAGCCCAUUAGUGACUCCCGGGUCACCGUCGCGGACUUGCGGCCCUCCACGGCCAAGCUCCAAACGCGCGUCGAGCCCUGGCAGGGGAGGUGGUUGUCUAAGGCAGCCUGGACCAUCCUCAUCAACUCUUCGCUCUCCAGUCUCCUCUUGUUUCUCAUGAGCUUCUACAGUCUCCACGAGACCCUGCACCAUGAGAUCGCCAAGGUCCAGUCCCUCUUCUACUGGGCGGGCGACAAUGACAAG
rnacentral:rRNA from 1 species